rnacentral:rRNA from 1 species
AUGAACGUUGCGCUUAUGCUGCGUUGGGUUUGGCGGAUCUUGCGGGGAGAUGGUGGGUUGUGGCUGCAGCUGGUUGAGUCCAAGUACUUGCAGGGUCAACCCCUCAUGGCUUGCUCUCACUCAGCUGGGUCACAGUUCUGGAAAUCAAUUCAGGCCAUCAAGGAAGAGAUUAGGUUGGGUGUGCGUUUUUCUUUUGGCAAUGGCUCUAGGACCCAAUUUUGGUUGGACCCCUGGCUCGAGAGUGAGCCUCUCCACUUGCGGUUCCCGCGGCUCUUUGCGAUUUUUGAUGACCCGACCAUUCUUGUAUCUGCGGCUGCGUUGGAGGAGGGGUGGAACAUUGCGUUCCGCCGCUCAUUCGGUCCAGAUGAGGUCCGGGAAUGGACUGGCCUGAGGGAAGUAGUCCCUCUUCCUCUAUCCCCGGACCCCGACACUGUUUCUUGGAGCCUUUCUCCUUCGGGUGAAUUCUCCGUUAGUUCGGCCUAUCAGGCAUUAUGCCGUAUGCCGGUUCUACAGUGGUUAUCCUCAUUGUGGAAGGCACCGCUGCCCCUGAAGAUUAAGAUUUUUGUAUGGCAACUUCUCCGAGACCGUCUGCCGUCGGGACCGAGGUGCUGA